rnacentral:lncRNA from 7 species
CCCGGGGCUCCGAGCGCCGCCUCAGCUUCUGCGACUCCCCUUGUCCCCCCUUGGAAUCGUGCCGAGGGAUCUGGAGACGUCCUAGAGAGGUCUGGGGGCAUCCAGGGGGUUCUGGACUCAUGCAGAAGAGUCUGGAGAUGUCCAAGGAGGAUCCAGGGAGUCCCCAGGCCUGCCUGCAGCCGGACCCGGUGACACCGGAGCCCUGUGGCGCUGUCACCAUCCUCUGUCCCGAGGACGGGAGGUGAACUCUGUGCCACCAGCAGAGGGGACCACGGGUGACAUCAGUGUGGAACAGCCGUGACGCGGCGGCGUUGUCAUUGGGUGUCACCGUCACGCAGAGGGGACAAAAGGACCCCCCUGGGGGCAUUGCGUCGAAGUUGGGGACACCGUGAGCAGCUUGAGGACUUCCCAGGGGAAGUGGGGGCACCGCGUCACCGUGUCACACCCCAAAGUUGGG